CUAACUACUCAGCAGUGUCUGGAGUCUCAGCGGCAUCAACUCCAUCUAAUACUUGCUCCAAAGGAACCUCUGCAAUCUCUGCUCACAUCCAAAUUUGGAUGAUCAUUGCAAAAGAAAACAAACACAGACAAAACAAACAACACACGCGCAAGGGUAAGCUAGAAUUCAAAAGAAUACAAGUCCAAUACAAUUUAAACAAAGUAAAAGAGGCAUACAAGUAAUCACAAUCACAGAAAUACAGUUUUAAUAAGUUAUGAGUUAUAGUUUUAUUAGAUAGUGUUAGACUUAGACUCGUCCGGACCCGGAAUGAAUAUCGAGCUAUGGCGGGUUAUGCACUUGUGGUGGCCUCUACUGCUUUGCAAAGCCAUUGCCAAUGGGUUUCACCCUACCACACACAAGGUUAGUCCGUUAUCACUCACCUUGGCCCAUAUACAAUGGAGACAACCAAGACUAGGACCCCCUACUACUCUUCACCACAUGAACUAAUCUUCUCUAAGUGAGAUUGAAUAGUCAUUAGAGCAUUAAGGGCAACCCCCAAGACUGAGCUACCUAUAUUCAUUUCAGAACUUAACUUGAAUCACUCAUUCUUAGCCCAUAUAAAAUGGAGACACCCAAGAUUGAGCUUCCUAUAUUCAUUCUCAUAACUUAAUUUGAUCUCACCUAGAGAUGUACUUAAAUCACAUUACAUUCCACACUGACUUUACUUACUUUCAUACUUUUGAUUUCAUACCAUGAAUGUUUUAUAUUAGUUUAGUUUCUUAC
rnacentral:lncRNA from 1 species